AUAAUCUAGUUUCCCUUCAGAUCACGUAUAAAUCUUUCGCCUUUUACUAAAGAUUUCCGUGGAGGGGAAUAUUGAUGAUUCUUAACUGAAUUUUUUGAGUGCCCGACGAAAGUUGGGUC
rnacentral:snRNA from 1 species